rnacentral:rRNA from 1 species
GUGGGGAAUAUUGCGCAAUGGCCGAAAGGCUGACGCAGCGACGCCGCGUGGGGGAUGAAGCAUUUCGGUGUGUAAACCCCUGUUGCCCGGGACGAACAAGCAGAUUUUUCUGCUCUGACGGUACCGGGAGAAGAAGCUGCGGCUAACUACGUGCCAGCAGCCGCGGUAAAACGUAGGCAGCAAGCGUUGUUCGGAGUUACUGGGCGUAAAGAGUGCGUAGGCGGUUUUCUAAGUUCGGUGCGAAAUCUCCCGGCUUAACUGGGAGGGUGCGCCGAAGACUGGGAAGCUGGAGUGUGGGAAAGGCAGGCGGAAUUCCUGGUGUAGCGGUGAAAUGCGUAGAUAUCAGGAGGAACACCGGCGGUGUAGACGGCUUGCUAGACCAUAACUGACGCUGAGGCACGAAAGCGUGGGUAGCAAACA